rnacentral:misc_RNA from 1 species
AUUUAUUUAACAAUAUAUUUAGUUCAUUUGCUGCAAUCAGAAAUCAGCUUCACAUUCAUGUGUUUUCUUCUUCCUCUCUAUUUACAAUUCUCAAUUUGGUUCAUCAGGGAAAAAAAAUGUGCAUAUUGAGACACCAUCUACCAUGCUUCAUAAUUAUGCUGCCUUGUGCAGCAGAAAAAAUUAAAAUUUGUUGUCGGCUAGCCAUUAUCAGUUGAUCACUCUUCAUUAUUCUCCUGGGGUUGUAGUGCACACUCCAUAUUCCACAGUAUGUCUCGAUUAAAGGCCUAUGAAUACCAUAUUCUGCUGAGAAUUUAUCAGCACUCUAUCCAAAUUUUCUUUAAUCAGCCAGAAUUUAUCUGCCCUUCAAGAAGAGGAUCUACCGAAUCAUCUAAUUGACCUCUCCUCUGACAUUUCCAAGGCCAUUUUCAACUAGAUAUGCCUUCUCCCUUGGCAAGAGAUGGAUGAAUAACAGAUCUUCAUUAGAAUAGCUCUUCAUUUAAAAUCCGUUCUCCUUACGUAUGGAAGUGAAAUAUGAGAAUGCAUAUGUAUUUUGGAUCUUUCCACCUCUGAUCAUAUACUUAUAGAGGAGCUUCCACCAAUCUUUAACUAACCAGUGGGUGAAAGUGCCAAAUCCAUAGCGACUCCUUCACUCUCUGGCAUAUCUCUAACCUCACUAAGAAGCCUUGUCAAUUCUUUUGGAAGUUCCCUACGGAUAAAGUCAGAUCGUUCCUUUGUGAUUGAUGACUCUGUGAACAGGGUCUCAGUCAGGGACUGAUAUUCUUGAAACCAUUCACCAUUGUUACUUUGAGCAUAGUGAUCAUCAUAGAAAACUAGUGAACUUUCCUGUCGCCAUCUUCUUAGGUAAUAUUUGUCAGGAAGAUGAAAGUAGUUUUUCUGUAUGAAUACACGAAGAGCAUGUCUGCACAAUAUUCCUGACGAUUCAAAUUCCUUACACGAACAGUGGAUCUGCUCAUCUUCUGGUAUCCAUAUGACAAAAUGCUCUCCAUCCAUCUUCUUGAAGUGAUGUACAAGAUACGAUCCAUCAGCCAUUUCAGAUAAAGCAUAUUGCAUUGCCAACAUUAAUUCAUGUUGUAAAGCGUUGAAGGCGAAUGGAGUAAAAAUACUACGUGCAUGCUCUUCAAUAGGUAUGCAUGUCUUCAUGAGCAUGUAUUGCAUCUCUUGGCGUGCUUGGUUCAGAAAAUUAGCAGAAAUACCAACCUAAAAGGACACAAAGGAAAGCAAAACAGAAUUAACAAAAUAAAUGUCCAUUUGAAGGCUACUAUAUGAUAUUUGCAAUUGAAAUACCUGCUCAAAGAAACUACGCAAACAUGUUUGCGCAUUGCACACUCCUUUCAAAAAUGCAUCGACAGACUUUGAAUAUGACGAUGUUGCCAUUCUAGCAAGAAAGUAGCCCCUCACAUAGGAUAAAGCCCAGGAUGCACGGAAAGAAUUGAGCAAAGCAAUGUGUUUAUCCGAACCAAGUCCAAAGAUGGAAACCAUUUGACUCCAUUGAAGUUCAAAACCUUCUGUGCUCUCAAUGCGAUACAACUCAUCAAACUUGGAUUUAAAUUCAGCAAAUCGAGUGCCAAAAGCAAGAGAAAACCAACUGUAUACCUUGGGUAAAAUAUUCCACAUGGAUAUAACAUGCUUAGUGCUGGGUAACUCACUACUUAUGGCAUCCUUAAGCCCCAUAUCUAGGCUAGUAAGAAUUGUCUGUGGGCAUUUUCCCUUCAUAAGACGGAUAAAAGCCUGCAAAGCCCAAGCAAAGGAACGAGGUGUUUCUUCCUGCAAUAGAACACAACCAAAAAAUAUGGUUUUUCCAUUAUUUUCUAUUCCAAGCCAUGCUCCAAAAAGCAUACCAUAUGUGAUUGAGCGAUAACUAGUGUCAAAAUAAACCACAUCACCAAACAAUGUAUAUGCACGAACAGAAUCACCAUAUGACCAUGCAAUGUUCUCAAUCUUAUCAUUCUCAUCAACCGUAUAAUCAUAAAUAAAAUCUUCAUCCACCUCUUUCAUUGCCUUGCAUGCCUCAAGAAGUUCCAUUGUAUCAUUUUCUCUUUUUUCAGUUAGCAAAGCAUCAUUCUCUUGAACAAUUUUCUUCCGGUUUUGAACAAAAUUCCUUACGUCCCUCUCCAGAAAAGGCAGUUGUCCACCCUGAAUCCCUUUUUCCAACUCCAGCACCUUCACUAUGCGAUGUAUUGGAAACCCAGCUUUUGAAAGCAACAGAAUUCUCUCCUGAUCUGCCUCAUGAAUUUUCCGGUAAGCAGGAAGAAGCCGCACUUGGUCAUCUUCCAAAAGUUCAUGAUUAUGUACAUUGCUAAAUUGCACAACAAACCAUUGAGAAACCCCUUCAACAACUUCCUUUGAUAAAUACAUUUUCGCAUCACAUCCACAUCGCACUGAUUUCCUAUCUCUAUGGUGUUCCCCAGUAGGCUUUUUCCUAGCUGGUGCAAAUCCAGAACGAUAACAAACAAAAUCACGUUUAUAAAUACCCAAUUGAGGGCUCAAUCUAGACCUUUCUUUCCUAAUGGAGAAUCCAUUUCUCCUAGCAAAAUUUCCAUAAUAGUCAAAUGCAUCAUCAUCACUCUUAAACACCAUUCCUACGUAUGGUGCAACCAUAGCUUCAGAUUGAACGGUGUCGUUCUUGACCAACUGGGACGCAAUUGACGACUCUUCAGAAUCUCCUUCAUAUGUAAUAUAACAUUUCCAAUCUCCACAAGGGCAUUGCUGCCUCCUCAUCCAUAUGUUUUUGGAUGGUAUUGAUGACAUUAAAAAUCUAUAUAUACCCUCAACUACCGUAACCAAAUCUUAAGAGUGAGACAAUAGCCAGUAGUAUAAACCCUUCAAUUAAAAAAAAAGUAAAGCAAGCAUACAGAUUAUGAAAAAGAAAACCACUUAUGAAGCACACAGAUUCAGAAAAAUAACCAGUGUGGAUUUGUUGCUUUGAUUACACCCAAUAACCAAAGGUGAUCAAGAAUUAGACCAAAAACCUUGGAAUGGCUUCUUAGCAUUCUCUAUAAUUCCCUACUUCUUGAACCGCUUGAUACCGUGACUAAGAAAUAAGACUGAACAUUGAACAGAAAAAAGAAUUGAGACCAAGGGAACCGUUUACCUCAAAUCAGGAACAUGGAAAGUGACAGAGAAAGCACGAAGAGUAUGCUUGAACUCAAGAAUACAGUUCACUUAUUAUCUUUAUACAACCAGAUGGGGUUUUAGGGUUUUAAGCAAGAUUAUACAGCCAACAAAAGGCCAUACCCACAUGAAAAUUAAAAAAGAGAAAAGAACCCAAGAUGUAGUUAUCGCUUCUAAGGCUCAGAGGCUGCCAGUUGACAAAGUCACACAGACGGUGAAAGAGAAAGGAAGAGAGUACCGAACAGAAGACUCUGCGAG